rnacentral:rRNA from 1 species
AUUGAACGCUGGCGGCAGGCCUAACACAUGCAAGUCGAGCGGAAGAAGGGAGCUUGCUCCUGGAUUCAGCGGCGGACGGGUGAGUAAUGCCUAGGAAUCUGCCUGGUAGUGGGGGAUAACGUCCGGAAACGGGCGCUAAUACCGCAUACGUCCUGAGGGAGAAAGUGGGGGAUCUUCGGACCUCACGCUAUCAGAUGAGCCUAGGUCGGAUUAGCUAGUUGGUGGGGUAAAGGCCUACCAAGGCGACGAUCCGUAACUGGUCUGAGAGGAUGAUCAGUCACACUGGAACUGAGACACGGUCCAGACUCCUACGGGAGGCAGCAGUGGGGAAUAUUGGACAAUGGGCGAAAGCCUGAUCCAGCCAUGCCGCGUGUGUGAAGAAGGUCUUCGGAUUGUAAAGCACUUUAAGUUGGGAGGAAGGGCAGUAAGUUAAUACCUUGCUGUUUUGACGUUACCAGCAGAAUAAGCACCGGCUAACUUCGUG